GGGGGGGGUCGGGCAUAGGUGGGGCAUUUGACUUUUUGAGCAAAUUUUCAAUCAAAUGCCCCACCGUCGGGCAAUAAAUAUCGGUCAAAUGCCCCACUAUUUUGCAAUAAAUUGCAAUAAAUACUAUAUUAAUAAAGGUUAAUUGAUAGGUGCAUAAUGUCCAAACUCUAAAGUAUUAUAAACAAGCAGAACAGACCACUUAUUGCAAGUUGCUAGUAAGUCAUAUCAACAUGUGAUCUCGACAAUACAGUGUAUAAACUAAAGUAAUUCAGCUUCUACACAUGAAGCGACUUUAAACACUAUCCUUAC